AUUCUAGGGUUUAUGAAUUUCAAAACGACGACGUUCUAGGGUUUAUGAUUGUGACUACUUUUUUAAAUCACUCUGCUGUUUUGCGGGUGCUGAUUUUAUUUUAAAUAUUGUUGAUUGAUUUGAGUAUUUGAUGAUAAUUUUUUAGGUUCCUAUUCUGACUCAUUCAACGGUUAAAUGGGUUCAAGCGAAUUUGUUAGUUCGGUUUCGUGGGAUGAUACAAGAUAUGUUAGGAAAUGAAUGCUAUGUUGGUCCUUAUAAGAAUGAAGGCACAUGGAAUAGCAACAAAUUCACAGAUAUUUCUCAAUUUCCCAUGGGUCAUUCACAGAUAUUUACAGUUUCCCAGUUACACUCAAUUAAGGUUUUGUUUAAGCAGUCCCUUAUAUCUGUAGAAACAGUAAAAGCAAUUGCCAAAACAAGUAGAUCAUUGAUACAGAAUGGUAAUUGUCAGUGGACUGAGAAUCUGUCAGUGUACAUUUGGGUUCCUCAUGAUGAUGCUUCAAAACGGCACGGGCAAAGCCUGCAUAAGCUUCUUAUUUCCUAUGUUUUGCAUUUCCAUCUCAUGUUUUUAAUUAAGUUUGAAUUUGAUUACAUAUAUGUUCGCUGACAUGCUUCUUGUGGUCUAUUAUUAUUUCACUAAUAAUGUAUUGUUAUGUUGUGUGGCAGGGGUCUGGUAGAUCAGGCAUCCUUGGAGAAGUUACAGUAAAUUUGUCAAGUCACUUGAGUUCUGAGACUUCGACUACUGUUGCGGAACCACUAAAAAACUGUAGUUAUGGGACAAUCUUACAGGUUUCGUAAACAUGAGGCUUCUGAUGCAUUGACAAGUACAAGAUCCACAG